rnacentral:rRNA from 1 species
CCUACGGGUGGCAGCAGUGGGGAAUAUUGCACAAUGGGGGAAACCCUGAUGCAGCAACGCCGCGUGAAGGAAGACGGUUUUCGGAUUGUAAAAUUCUGUUCUUAGUGAAGAAUAAUGACGGUAGCUAAGGAGCAAGCGACGGCUAACUACGUGCCAGGAGCCGCGGUAAUACGUAGGUGGCAAGGGUUGUCCGGAAUUACUGGGGGUAAAGGGAGCGCAGGCGGGAAGCCAAGUCAGGUGUGAAAACUACGGGCUUAACUUGGAGACUGCAGUUGAAACUGGUUGUCUUGAGUGAAGUAGAGGUUGGCGGAAUUCGGAGUGUAGCGGUGAAAUGCGUAGAUAUUCGGAGGAACACCGGUGGCGAAGGCGGCCAACUGGGCGUUAACUGACGCUGAGGCUCGAAAGUGUGGGGAGCGAACAGGAUUAGAUACCCUGGUAGUC